AUAAAAUCGAUCAUAUGUAUAUGUUACUGUAAAAGUUCGAACUACGGUUAAUCUUAAGAUUUAAGUGUAAGUCUUAGGAUUUACCGACAUGAGUUGGUAAAUGUAAGUAUUUCUGAAAAUACGACGAUUUUUUCGAGCUUUUAACAUCCGAAUUCAGUAUAUGCUAGGUUUUACCACUGUCAGCUGGUAGAUGUUGGUUUUAGGAAUAAAACAAUGAGUAAUUCUUCAUUAUUUACUUUUAUGUACUAUUAGACAAAACAGGUACAUAGUAUUAUAAAGGUAUCAUAUGAUAGUAAUAAGUACAAACUAAUACCAACUU